UGUCAGUAUAAGUAUUAUAUAGCGAAACUGCGAAUGGCUCAUUACAUCAGUCAUAAUUUAUUUGAUAUUUGAAAGUUACAUGGAUAACCGUGGCAAUUCUACAGCUAAUACAUGCGUUCAUACCCGACUUUACGGAAGGGUAGUAUUUAUUAGAUAUUAAACCAAUCCCUUCGGGGUUGUGAUGAUUCAUAAUAACUGAUCGAAGCGAGGAUUUCCUUGCUAAAUCAUUCAAGUUUCUGCCCUAUCAGCUUUAGAUGGUAGUGUAUUGGACUACCAUGGCUAUCACGGGUAACGGAGAAUUAGGGUUCGAUUCCGGAGAGGGAGCCUGAGAAAUGGCUACCACAUCUAAGGAUGGCAGCAGGUGCGAAAAUUGCCCAAUCCCGAUUCGGGGAGGCAGUGACAAGAAAUAUCAACCCAGGUCUUAUGACCAGGAUUGCAAAUGAGAAAAAUCCAAAAAACUUAUCGAGUAUCAACUGGAGGGCAAGCUAUGGUGCCAGCAGCCGCGGUAAUUCCAUCUCCAGUAGCGUAUAUUAAAGUUGCUGCAGUUAAAAA
rnacentral:rRNA from 1 species